CGGGCUUUUGAUACGCUUGUG
rnacentral:siRNA from 1 species